rnacentral:rRNA from 1 species
GUGGGGAAUUUUGGACAAUGGGCGAAAGCCUGAUCCAGCCAUGCCGCGUGCAGGAUGAAGGCCUUCGGGUUGUAAACUGCUUUUGUACGGAACGAAAAGACUCCUUCUAAUAAAGGGGGUCCAUGACGGUACCGUAAGAAUAAGCACCGGCUAACUACGUGCCAGCAGCCGCGGUAAUACGUAGGGUGCAAGCGUUAAUCGGAAUUACUGGGCGUAAAGCGUGCGCAGGCGGUUAUAUAAGACAGAUGUGAAAUCCCCGGGAUCAACCUGGGAACUGCAUUUGUGACUGUAUAGCUAGAGUACGGUAGAGGGGGAUGGAAUUCCGCGUGUAGCAGUGAAAUGCGUAGAUAUGCGGAGGAACACCGAUGGCGAAGGCAAUCCCCUGGACCUGUACUGACGCUCAUGCACGAAAGCGUGGGGAGCAAACAGGAUUAGAUACCCGGGUAGUCC